rnacentral:rRNA from 1 species
CCUACGGGUGGCAGCAGUGGGGAAUAUUGGGCAAUGGAGGCAACUCUGACCCAGCAACGCCGCGUGAAUGAUGAAGGUCUUCGGAUUGUAAAGCUCUUUUCUAAGGGAAGAAGAAAGUGACGGUUCCUUAGGAAUAUGUCUCCGCUAACUACGUGCCAGCACCCGCGGUAAUACGUAGGAGGCAAGCGUUAUCCGGAUUGACUGGGCGUAAAGGGUGCGUAGGUGGUUUGACAAGUUAGUAGCGCAACUCCGUAGCUCAACUUCGGAACUACUACUAAAACUGUUGGACUUGAGUGCAGGAGGGGCAAUCGGAAUUCCUGGUGUAGCGGUGGAAUGCGUAGAUAUUAGGAGGAACACCAGUGGCGAAGGCGGAUUGCUGGACUGUAACUGACGCUGAGGCACGAAAGCGUGGGGAGCAAACAGGAUUAGAUACCCUGGUAGUC